GACGAACGCUGGCGGCGUGCCUAAUACAUGCAAGUUGAGCGCUGAAGGUUGGUACUUGUACCAACUGGAUGAGCAGCGAACGGGUGAGUAACGCGUGGGGAAUCUGCCUUUGAGCGGGGGACAACAUUUGGAAACGAAUGCUAAUACCGCAUAAAAACUUUAAACACAAGUUUUAAGUUUGAAAGAUGCAAUUGCAUCACUCAAAGAUGAUCCCGCGUUGUAUUAGCUAGUUGGUGAGGUAAAGGCUCACCAAGGCGAUGAUACAUAGCCGACCUGAGAGGGUGAUCGGCCACAUUGGGACUGAGACACGGCCCAAACUCCUACGGGAGGCAGCAGUAGGGGAUCUUCGGCAAUGGACGAAAGUCUGACCGAGCAACGCCGCGGGAGUGAAGAAGGUUUUCGGAUCGUAAAACUCUGUUGGUAGAGAAGAACGUUGGUGAGAGUGGAAAGCUCAUCAAGUGACGGUAACUACCCAGAAAGGGACGGCUAACUACGUG
rnacentral:rRNA from 1 species